rnacentral:lncRNA from 1 species
CGUCUUUCUGAACUCCCUCGACCAUCCGGACUUCUCCGACAAUGAGCUUCCCCAUUCAUCUAUCGGGCCACUCCAAAGGCUCUCUGGGCUUCACUAUCAGUCGACCUUCUACAGUGGUCAACUAUUUUUUGAAUCCCUUCCAGACUCCUUCCGACCGCGGAUGACCCUAUUCCGAACUUCUUUCGAACUUCGUCAAUAUCUGAGCUUCUCCGACGAUGAGAUUUCUACAGUAACUAGACUCCAUCCAAGUUUCUACGAUGGUCGAUCACCUUUUGGAUUCCACCCA